rnacentral:rRNA from 1 species
CAGUCGCCACGGUAACACGUAGGGUGCAAGCGUUAAUCGGAAUUACUGGGCGUAAAGCGUGCGCAGGCGGUUAUAUAAGACAGAUGUGAAAUCCCCGGGCUCAACCUGGGAACUGCAUUUGUGACUGUAUAGCUAGAGUACGGCAGAGGGGGAUGGAAUUCCGCGUGUAGCAGUGAAAUGCGUAGAUAUGCGGAGGAACACCGAUGGCGAAGGCAAUCCCCUGGGCUUGUACUGACGCUCAUGCACGAAAGCGUGGGGAGCAAACAGGAUUAGAUACCCCCGUAGUCCUUGUCUCUUAUAC